GGAUAGAAAAGCAGGAAGCAAAACCACAACAUAACACUUUCAUAAUUCAACAGAAUUACAAACAGAGGUCUACGGCCAAAAGUCUACAAAAGACCGGCUCUUAAAAAGGAAUUGUCCUACGACCUACAAGUCGGACACGUUCUCCAAUCUUAUGACUUCACCUCUGCAACUCCUCAAGGCCUACCAAAGCUAUCUGGCCACUCCGUCCAUCAAGG
rnacentral:lncRNA from 1 species